rnacentral:tRNA from 2 species
UGGGGCGUGGCCAAGUGGUAAGGCAGCAGGUUUUGGUUCUGCCAUCCGGAGGUUCGAAUCCUUCCGUCCCAG